rnacentral:rRNA from 1 species
UACGUAGGCAGCAAGCGUUGUUCGGAGUUACUGGGCGUAAAGGGUGUGUAGGCGGUUCCCUAAGUUUGGUGUGAAAUCUCCCGGCUCAACUGGGAGGGUGCGCCGAAAACUGGGGGGGCUAGAGUACUGGAUGGGAGAGUGGAAUUCCUGGUGUAGCGGUGAAAUGCGUAGAUAUCAGGAGGAACACCUGUGGUGUAGACGGCUCUCUGGACAGUAACUGACGCUGAGACACGAAAAGCGUGGGUAGCAAACAGG